rnacentral:lncRNA from 1 species
AGGGAACCAGUAUUGUGCCUCGCGUCGAGUUCAGCGCGAUUCGUGCUGCUCUUGUGCGCAUGAGCGAAGAGGACGCUUCGCCGGGACUUUUACAAAGGGAGCGCAGACACGGGAGAGGGACGUAUAAACAAACUUCCUUGGAAAAAAAGGCAAUGCUUGUCAUCUGUUAAAAGGCUUUCCUGCUGCACGCUUUGUUUGGAGAACAUAAGCUCUGAAAACUCUGGGCCUUCUCAUUGCACAACAGCAGUUUGCAGGUUGCAUGGCAAGCUGAUUUGGUGCAUGACAUUUGUAUGAGUGCAUUCAGGCUCUCUGUGGGAUUUCAAGUGAGUGUCUGCUGCAAUGGCCCAAACUAUGCACGUUAACGGCAAUGCCUCAGGUAAUGCCUCCCUU